GAAAUAUAUGCAGUAUAAAAUAACAGUGUGGAGCCACUCACACUCUAUAACAACCAAUGCUGCAGAGGCCUCAUUCUCUUGAAAUAGCCCACUGUGAGCCUGUAUAUGUUGAAGUACAUGAAGGCCUCAAUCUGUCUCAACUUUCCUUCAUUUGAUCUAAACCUGUCCGCCACACCCCCAGCUGCCACAAAUCGGUUGAGGGUUUUGUUUGUCCUGUUUUAAGUGUACCGGUCUUUGCAUGACAGUGAUUCUGCAGGGCGACAUAUCAGACGGCUGACGGUAAGCGGCCGGUUUAGUGCGGAACAGAUGCUCGCUCUCAAUAGCAGACAGCUGUCACUAUUGUUGUUUGUGGUCUGCCACAACCAUAUUUGCAGCUGCUACUACCGCGCGCCCCAACAAUGGGUAGGGGGACUAAACAUCGAUGGCGCGUGGCGGAUAAUAAUGCCCGCGAUUAACCUUGGCGCGUGCAGUCAGUCGCCCGCCCGAGCUCCUCCUAUCGAUGCACGCUCACCCCCCCCCACCCGUCUGCGGAUUAGGUUACCGGGCACGCGCGGUACAGUAUGGAGGUACCAAAAAGAGAUAGAUGUUAUUUUAACAGCAGCAGGAGCUCUCAGUUCUAGGUGGGUGGGACUUUCUUUAGGCACAAACUGGAACAAACAAAACUCCAGGUAAAUGCACACCUGUGUGAGCUGAUUUAAAUAUUGACAAGCUAAAGAAGUAGCUGAGCUCGAAAGUGACACUUAAAUUGUAACAAAACACCAGGACUUGAACCAUGAUGAUGAAGGUCAAAGGUUGUACAUCAUGAGGAGACCUCGCAGAAGUAACAACUCUUUUAAGCAGGAGUCCUUUCCUUGAUCCCUUCAAAGGCGGCCUACUGUAUUCUCUGAUCCAAGCCCAGGACGAGACCAGCGGGGCUACUGCACACAUCAUUUGGGGAAUUAAAUGAUGGCGGGAGCACAGAAACAGCAAACAGAACCAGCAGACCUCCCCCCAUCGGACACAAUAAGGUUUUUACUACAACAACGACAACGAGAAGGAGAAGGAGAAAGGAAGAAGAAGUCGAAGUUUGGCCACAUCUCGACUCAUCCACAUCACAAGCAAUGUCAUCCCUGGUCCCCUUCUUUGUUCUCCUCCUCCCUCUUCCUCUUCUUCCUCUCACUCUCACUGCCUCCAUGUUUGCAAAGUUCUUACAGAAGAGGUGAGUUUACCGAAGGUCUAUUUGUAGUGCUAAGGCUCAGUCUGAUUGGUUUGUUUUGCAUUUUGAAAAGAAGUGUUUUCACAAUGAUUGCAACAUAUUUCAUUCUCGAACGUUUUUGUCGAAUGUAAGAAACAGUGUGUAGUGUUUUGCAAGAAGUGUGUGGCAGAAGGGCAAACAAAGUACAGAGCAGAGAAUGUGUUUGUACUUCUGGUGCCUUUGUUUAAGGCAUGGCUACAAAAGUUAUGGUUUUGAUGCUUUUGUCCAAGCAUUCACUUUUAGUGUGUAAGCUGUCGGGAAAAAAACUGUAAUUUUCUCAUACAGUGCAGUACAUCUACUCAUAUUUCAAUGAACACAAAAUAGAAAGGCUUCAGAAAAGUUUACAGUUUAUUUAUUUAGUUUUUUUGCCAUUGCAGGUUUUUAACAGCAAUAACACAAACACAAAAAGAAAAGUAGAUUAUCAGUACAGCAACCAAUACAAUAUGUUAGUUUUAUUAUUUACUUUAUAUGUUUAUAUGAUAUUUGUUAUUUCUACGGUGGCCCAGCUCAACACACCGCAAGUAGGUUCUAAAAAGUACAGCCACCUAACAUACCGUUAGCCUGUUUCAUAAUUAAUUAAUUUUGUCAGAUUAUUCGGGUAAUAAUAAGCAACAGGCUAACGCUAGGUAGUAGAUCUGUAAUCUGCAAUAUAUCUGAUACAUUGGCUUAAAAUAAGCCAAAAAAAACAAAACCAUGGAAACAACAAGUGGUGCAAACAGUUUCUGUUGUGAGUGCUUAUUCUAAAUGCUGUG